UACGUAGGGGGCAAGCGUUAUCCGGAUUUACUGGGUGUAAAGGGAGCGUAGGCGGCCAUGCAAGUCAGAAGUGAAAGCCCGGGGCUCAACCCCGGGACUGCUUUUGAAACUGUAGGGCUAGAUUGCCGGAGAGGUGAGCGGAAUUCCUAGUGUAGCGGUGAAAUGCGUAGAUAUUAGGAGGAACACCAGUGGCGAAGGCGGCUCACUGGACGGUAAAUGACGCUGAGGCUCGAAAGCGUGGGGAGCAAACAGG
rnacentral:rRNA from 2 species